CUUGAGAAGAAGAUUUUUAAAGAUUUUUCCUACAUAUUUCUAUGUAAAACUUUGAUCCUCCAUUGUGGCCCCGCCCUACCCCUGGGGGUCAUGAUUUGAACAAACUUGAAUGUACACUACCUGAGGAUGCUUCCACAUGAGUUUCAUCUUUCCUGGCCCUAUGGUUCUUGAGAAGAAGAUUUUUAAAUGUUGCCAUUAUUUUUUCACUAAUUCCUAAUUAUCUCCCCUUGAAAGAGGGCAUGGCCCUUCAUUUGAAGAAAUUUGAAUCCCCUUUACCCAAAGAUACUUUGUGGCAAGUUUGGUUGAAAUUGGCCCAGUGGUUCUUGAGAAGAAGUCGAAAAUGUGAAAAAUGAAAAUGUGAAAAGUUUACGACAACAACGCCAACACCAACGACAACAACGACGACGACGACAGACAACGGACAAAUUUUGAUCAGAAAAGCUCACUUGAGCCUUUGGCUCAGGUGAGCUAAA